AGACCAGAGAGCCGAGGCCAGAAGGCCGAGACCAGAGAGCGCCGACCAGAAAGGCAACCCCGCCGAGCCCAUGCCUUGGCCAAAUAUCUAAUCUCCGCCUAACCCUCCAAAGAAUCUGACAACUAAAUAUAUGACUCCACUUCAAUCUGCCACCAUCCCCAAGUCAUUAAGGCACAAGAUCUCCGCAGGCAUUCGGCACACCCUAUCAUUAAUGCAUGAGACCCCCUCAGGCCUCCGAUGCACUCAGUCAUUAAAUGAACACGGCUCAAGAUGAUCUCCGGAUCACUGAACCAUCAAAACGU
rnacentral:lncRNA from 1 species